rnacentral:rRNA from 1 species
GACGAACGCUGGCGGCGUGCCUAAUACAUGCAAGUAGAACGCUGAAGGGAGAGCUUGCUCUUCUGGAUGAGUUGCGAACGGGUGAGUAACGCGUAGGUAACCUGCCUGGUAGCGGGGGAUAACUAUUGGAAACGAUAGCUAAUACCGCAUAACAUUGACUAUUGCAUGAUAGUCAAUUGAAAGGUGCAAAUGCACCACUACCAGAUGGACCUGCGUUGUAUUAGCUAGUUGGUGGGGUAACGGCUCACCAAGGCGACGAUACAUAGCCGACCUGAGAGGGUGAUCGGCCACACUGGGACUGAGACACGGCCCAGACUCCUACGGGAGGCAGCAGUAGGGAAUCUUCGGCAAUGGACGGAAGUCUGACCGAGCAACGCCGCGUGAGUGAAGAAGGUUUUCGGAUCGUAAAGCUCUGUUGUAAGAGAAGAACGAGUGUGAGAGUGGAAAGUUCACACUGUGACGGUAUCUUACCAGAAAGGA